GUGGCUGUAGUUCAGUUGGAAGAACGUCUGAUUGUGGCUCAGAAGGUCGCGGAUUCGAAUUCCGCCAGUCACCCCA
rnacentral:tRNA from 1 species